GUAGGUGGCAAGCGUUGUCCGGAAUUAUUGGGCGUAAAGCGCGCGCAGGCGGUUCUUUAAGUCUGAUGUGAAAGCCCACGGCUCAACCGUGGAGGGUCAUUGGAAACUGGAGAACUUGAGUACAGAAGAGGAAAGCGGAAUUCCACGUGUAGCGGUGAAAUGCGUAGAGAUGUGGAGGAACACCAGUGGCGAAGGCGGCUUUCUGGUCUGUAACUGACGCUGAGGCUCGAAAGCGUGGGGAGCAAACAGGGAUUAGAUACCCUGGUAGUCCACGCCGUAAACGAUGAGUGCUAAUGUUAGGGGGUUUCCGCCCCCUUAGUGCUGCAGCUAACGCAUUAAGCACUCCGCCUGGGGAGUACGGCCGCAAGGCUG
rnacentral:rRNA from 1 species